rnacentral:sRNA from 1 species
AGCUUUCAGCUUUGAGCCAGUUAUAAAAACCCCUUUUGAUUUGUUAAAACAGAUUGCGGUCUGGCAACUGCAACGUUUAACAAGAAAUCAAAAG